AUGGCAUCAAAGCGCAUCCUCAAGGAACUGAAGGACCUGCAGAAGGACCCGCCCACAUCAUGCAGCGCAGGUCCUGCUGGUGAGGACAUGUUUCAUUGGCAAGCAACAAUUAUGGGACCCCCUGACAGUCCCUAUGCCGGCGGUGUUUUCUUAGUGAACAUUCAUUUCCCUCCAGAUUACCCCUUCAAGCCACCAAAGGUAUCUUUUAAGACAAAGGUCUUCCAUCCUAAUAUCAACAGCAAUGGAAGCAUAUGCCUUGAUAUUCUUAAGGAGCAGUGGAGCCCUGCUUUGACGAUCUCCAAGGUCUUGCUCUCUAUCUGUUCCCUGCUGACCGAUCCCAACCCGGAUGAUCCCCUUGUUCCUGAGAUUGCCCACAUGUACAAGACGGACCGGUCAAAGUAUGAGACGACAGCCCGCAGCUGGACGCAGAAGUACGCCAUGGGUUGA
rnacentral:rRNA from 1 species